rnacentral:tRNA from 1 species
GGGUUGUGGCUCAGCGGUAGAGCACUUGCCUAGCAUGUGUGAGGCCCUGGGUUCGACCCUCAGCCCCA